rnacentral:rRNA from 1 species
UACAGAGGUCUCAAGCGUUGUUCGGAUUCAUUGGGCGUAAAGGGUGCGUAGGCGGCGCGGUAAGUCGGGUGUGAAAUCUCGGGGCUUAACUCCGAAACUGCAUUCGAUACUGCCGUGCUUGAGGACUGGAGAGGAGACUGGAAUUUACGGUGUAGCGGUGAAAUGCGUAGAUAUCGGAAGGAACGCCGGUGGCGAAAGCGCACGACUGGUCCUCUUCUGACGCUGAGGCGCGAAAGCCAGGGGAGCAAACGGG